UACGGAGGGUGCAAGCGUUAUCCGGAUUCACUGGGUUUAAAGGGUGCGUAGGUGGGCAGGUAAGUCAGUGGUGAAAUCUCCGGGCUUAACCCGGAAACUGCCAUUGAUACUAUUUGCCUUGAAUACUGUGGAGGUCAGCGGAAUAUGUCAUGUAGCGGUGAAAUGCUUAGAUAUGACAUAGAACACCAAUUGCGAAGGCAGCUGGCUACACAAAUAUUGACACUGAGGCACGAAAGCGUGGGGAUCAAACAGG
rnacentral:rRNA from 1 species